rnacentral:rRNA from 1 species
UACGGGGGGGGUAAGCGUUGUUCGGAAUUACUGGGCGUAAAGGGCUCGUAGGCGGCCAACUAAGUCGGACGUGAAAUCCCUCAGCUUAACUGGGGAACUGCGUCCGAUACUGGAUGGCUUGGAUUUGGGAGAGGGAUGCGGAAUUCCAGGUGUAGCGGUGAAAUUCGUAGAUAUCGGGAGGAACACCGGUGGCGAAGGCGGCGAUCUGGGUCGAUACUGACGCUGAGGUGCGAAAGCGUGGGGAGCAAACAGG